AGGGCUCGUGUUAUUCAGGAAUGACCAAGUAGACAGCUGUUAUUGCCAAGGCUGCCAACCAGCAAGCAGAUGGCAACGACCAUUGACCAUCAGCAACGGCAAGACGGGAAACGCCUGCAGUGACCUUCACUGGCUUCGAAAUUCCUUGAUAAUUUCUUUGAUACUGUUACACUGCUUUUUCAGCAGUUCACCUUCAGUUCCCCAAAUGAAGCCUUGGAGACUUGCAUUCUGUCCUCUUCUCCCACUGGGGAUGCAGAUGUAGACAACACCCAACGGUCUUUGUGACUGAUACCUCUAAAAUGGUGAUAUCUCUAGUGAGGUUACUGGGUUCCAUGCACUCAGGAAUGGGCUACUGUGUUCCAUGCACUCAGGAAUUGCCAUUUUAUGAACCUGAAGAAAGAGAAGCUGACUACGAGUAAAGGAGCAAAGAAAUUUGGUGUUCUAACAUUGUGCCUUCUGCUAUUGCUUUUUCCUUUCAUAAAAUGAAUUCGAUAAUUUUAUUGUA
rnacentral:lncRNA from 1 species